rnacentral:rRNA from 1 species
UACGUAGGGUGCAAGCGUUGUCCGAAUUUAUUGGGCGUAAAGCGUUCGUAGGCGUUCCGAAAAGUCGUUUUUCAAAGACCGGGGCUUAACUCCGGAAAGGGGAACGAUACUGUCGGAAUUGAAAGGUUCCGGGGCUACCGGAACUCACGGUGUAGGAGUGAAAUCCGUUGAUAUCGUGAGGAACACCGAGGGCGAAGGCAGGUAGCUAGGAAACCUUUGACGCUGAGGAACGAAAGCUAGGGGAGCGAAA